UACGGAGGGGGCUAGCGUUAUUCGGAAUUACUGGGCGUAAAGCGCACGUAGGCGGAUUAGAAAGUCAGAGGUGAAAUCCCAGGGCUCAACCUUGGAACUGCCUUUGAAACUUCUAGUCUUGAGUUCGAGAGAGGUAGUAGUGAAUUCCGAGUGUAGAGGUGAAAUUCGUAGAUAUUCGGAGGAACACCAGUGGCGAAGGC
rnacentral:rRNA from 1 species